CAGCUCCAGACAGAUUCAGUGGUAUGGCCAUCACAGAACUCUGCUAUGCAAAAAAGACAAACAUAAAGUGCCCACACUUGAAAAUAUUUGUUCUAACUAAGCCGCUAUGGAACAGUGCUUUCAGUGGGAUCUAAAUUACAUGCUGUCCUCGUCCUAGUCUAUCUUCCAUGAAUUUGUGAGUCUGCACAGGUGGCACCAGUCCAGCAUCUUCAAUUGUUAUACAGAACAGAGAACCUUCAUAAAUCUAGAGACUAACAGCAGAAACUGUGCAGGCUUCCAUUCUGUCCUUUGGUCAAUGAUUGAAGAUGCAAGAUGUGGAGGAGAACAAAUACAGCACUGGAUAAAAUACAACAUAUUUAAGAGCCAUGAUGGCCCAGUGGUUAGAAUGCAGUAUUGCUGAUUCUGCUCACACUGGCAGUUCAAUUCCUCUGAUCCUGACCGGCUCAAGAUUGACUCAGCCUUUCAUCCUUCCAAGCUUUGCAGCAAUGCAAAGAAAUGCAUUGUUAUUUCUUCUGAACUGGGAUCUACCAUAUUCCUUCUUGACUGUAUGGGCUUUUCUGUACUAUUAACUGGACAUUAGAUCAUGACCUAUUCAGAAAAUUAGAGGUCGUCUGGGGAAAGGACAGUAUUGGUUCCUCAUUCUAUAUUGUGGUUGAUUCACACAAGGAGGCAGAAGACCAGCUGGGCAAGUCUGCUGCAAAUUUGGAGAUACUGCACUCAAGUGAACAAGUGCCUUAUAUAUGAAACUAGGAUAUUUGCCUCAAUCUCCUGUGAUAGAAUUUUUCACAAGGAAAAAAACAAACAAACACCCAGCAACUGAAAAUCUAUUCUUAUGGUAAGUAUUUUAGCUAAAUAUAAUUUAUUUUUUAUUUAUUUUUAUUUAUUUUAUUUUGUCAAACAUGUAUUUUAUGACAGAUACAGGUGUAAACAUAAUUAUAAAUACAUGAAAAGGAUACGAAUAAAAGAAAAAAUUAGGACAGGGAUGGUAGGCACACUGGUGCACUUAUACAUGCCCCCUACAGACCUCUUAGGUAUGGUGUGAGGUCUACAGUAGACAGUCUAAGGUAAAAAUUUUGGGGAUUUGGGGAAGAAACCACAGAGUCAGGUAGUGCAUUCCAGGCAUUGACAACUCUAUUACUGAAGUCGUAUUUUCUACAGUCUAGUUUGGAUCGGUUUACCAUGAGUUUGUAUCUAUUGUGUGCUCUUGUAUUGUUUUGGUUGAAGCUGAAGUAUUCAUUGGCUAGUAAGACAUUGUAGCAGAUGAUUUUAUGUACUAUGCUUAGGUCGAAUAAUAGGAAUGGAGAUCACAUAGAAAUGUUCCACUGCUGUAUUAAUUCUUGGACAGUUUUAAUCUGGAUGUGCAAAAAUAUACUUAAAAUAAGCAUAGCAAAUCUUAAAAUGGGGAAAUUCCAACACUGGUAGAAAAUAGCAAAUAAAUAUAGGGUUUGGUUGUUGUUAUUCUUAUUAUUGGAAAGGAAUCAGACUAAGAAAUGGGAAUAUGGGAGCCAAGAUGAUGGUUAUUUAAAAAUCUUAAUAUAGUCAUAAAUAUACUUCUUCAAUGAUAUUUUGACAACUUCUCAGUCCAGGUCUCAAGCCUCCAAUGGCGCUAUCCAAGGCUGGUCCAGGUAGCUUUCUUCCUUGAAAAAGAAACCUUAUCUCCUUCCAAGUCUUAACAAGUGCAGGCAAGCUGAGGGCCUGAAGAAAAGGUCUUUAACCCAACUGUACCUGUGAAUACAUGCUAUCUAACUGAAAAGCAUUUGCUACUGGAUGAAGCUAAUGCCCAGGAGGGGGCUGUUUAAUGGUGCAAAAGAUAUCCUAAUUAAGAGCAGCCCUGAGACAUCUAUUAAAACCAUUAUCUACAGAAAGCCUUUAGCUGAUCUGAGCCACUAAUUCAUAAAGACAUGCAUAUUUGAAAAGCUACCACAAUCAUCUUCUGGGCUUAAAUACCGAUUCCUAAAUUACCUAAAUGAUAACCCCAUUGACAACCUGUGGGAUAUUUAUAUCCCU